rnacentral:tRNA from 1 species
GGGCGGAUGGUUUAGUGGUAUAAUACUCCCUUAGCAUGGUGUCGCCAGGCAAUAACAACUGGGAGUGGUCCGGGGUUCGAUUCCCCGUCUGUCCA